rnacentral:rRNA from 1 species
UUUUAGUUUUUUGCUCUGUUAGAUGAACGCUGGCGGCGUGCGUAAUACAUGCAAGUCGAACGAGUUCUCGUUGAUGAUCGGUGCUUGCACCGAGCUUCAGACAUAGAACGAGUGGCGGACGGGUGAGUAACACGUGGGUAACCUGCCCUUAAGUGGGGGAUAACAUUUGGAAACAGAUGCUAAUACCGCAUAGAUCCAAGAACCGCAUGGUUCUUGGCUGAAAGAUGGCGUAAGCUAUCGCUUUUGGAUGGACCCGCGGCGUAUUAGCUAGUUGGUGAGGUAAUGGCUCACCAAGGCGAUGAUACGUAGCCGAACUGAGAGGUUGAUCGGCCACAUUGGGACUGAGACACGGCCCAAACUCCUACGGGAGGCAGCAGUAGGGAAUCUUCCACAAUGGACGCAAGUCUGAUGGAGCAACGCCGCGUGAGUGAAGAAGGCUUUCGGGUCGUAAAACUCUGUUGUUGGAGAAGAAUGGUCGGCAGAGUAACUGUUGUCGGCGUGACGGUAUCCAACCAGAAAGCCACGGCUAACUACGUGCCAGCAGCCGCGGUAAUACGUAGGUGGCAAGCGUUAUCCGGAUUUAUUGGGCGUAAAGCGAGCGCAGGCGGUUUUUUAAGUCUGAUGUGAAAGCCCUCGGCUUAACCGAGGAAGCGCAUCGGAAACUGGGAAACUUGAGUGCAGAAGAGGACAGUGGAACUCCAUGUGUAGCGGUGAAAUGCGUAGAUAUAUGGAAGAACACCAGUGGCGAAGGCGGCUGUCUGGUCUGUAACUGACGCUGAGGCUCGAAAGCAUGGGUAGCGAACAGGAUUAGAUACCCUGGUAGUCCAUGCCGUAAACGAUGAAUGCUAGGUGUUGGAGGGUUUCCGCCCUUCAGUGCCGCAGCUAACGCAUUAAGCAUCC